UACGUAGGGUGCAAGCGUUGUCCGGAAUUAUUGGGCGUAAAGAGCUCGUAGGCGGUUUGUCGCGUCUGGUGUGAAAAUCCAGGGCUUAACCCUGGACCUGCAUCGGGUACGGGCAGACUAGAGUGCGGUAGGGGAGAUCGGAAUUCCUGGUGUAGCGGUGAAAUGCGCAGAGUAUCAGGAGGAACACCGGUGGCGAAGGCGGAUCUCUGGGCCGUAACUGACGCUGAGGAGCGAAAGCAUGGGGAGCGAACAGG
rnacentral:rRNA from 1 species